AGGACGAACGCUGGCGGUGUGCUUAACACAUGCAAGUGGAGCGACGAACCAGGGCUUGCCCUGGGGCAGAGCCGCGAACGGGUGAGUAACACGUGGGUAACCUACCCCGAUGACCGGGACAACCCGAGGAAACUCGGGCUAAUACCGGAUGUGUCCCAUCUUCAUGAGGAGAUGGAGCAAAGGAAGCUUCGGCCUCCGCAUUGGGAGGGGCCCGCGGCCCAUUAGCUAGUUGGUGGGGUAACGGCCUACCAAGGCGACGACGGGUA
rnacentral:rRNA from 1 species